rnacentral:rRNA from 1 species
GAUGAACGCUGGCGGCAUGCUUUACACAUGCAAGUCGAACGGUAACAGGCCUUCGGGCGCUGACGAGUGGCGAACGGGUGAGUAAUGCAUCGGAACGUGCCCAGUCGUGGGGGAUAACGCAGCGAAAGCUGUGCUAAUACCGCAUACGACCUGUGGAUGAAAGCGGGGGACCUUCGGGCCUCGCGCGAUUGGAGCGGCCGAUGUCAGAUUAGGUAGUUGGUGGGGUAAAGGCCCACCAAGCCGACGAUCUGUAGCUGGUCUGAGAGGACGACCAGCCACACUGGGACUGAGACACGGCCCAGACUCCUACGGGAGGCAGCAGUGGGGAAUUUUGGACAAUGGGCGCAAGCCUGAUCCAGCAAUGCCGCGUGCAGGAAGAAGGCCUUCGGGUUGUAAACUGCUUUUGUACGGAGCGAAAAGGCUCCCUCUAAUACAGGGGGCUCAUGACGGUACCGUAAGAAUAAGCACCGGCUAACUACGUGCCAGCAGCCGCCGUAA